CUGCCUUUAAGCCUGGGAUAACCAGAGGAAACUCUGGCUAAUACCGGAUAAGCUCACAGUUUCGCUUAGGGAACAGUGAGAAAAGAAUGCCUCUCCUUGGAAGCAUUCACUUUUAGAGGAGCCCGCGUCUCAUUAGCUUGUUGGUAAGGUAACGGCUUACCAAGGCGACGAUGGGUAGCUGGUCUGAGAGGAUGAUCAGCCACACUGGAACUGAAACACGGUCCAG
rnacentral:rRNA from 1 species